CGGUGCAUUAGCUAGUUGGUGAGGUAACGGCUCACCAAGGCGACGAUGCAUAGCCGACCUGAGAGGGUGAUCGGCCACAUUGGGACUGAGACACGGCCCAAACUCCUACGGGAGGCAGCAGUAGGGAAUCUUCGGCAAUGGACGAAAGUCUGACCGAGCAACGCCGCGUGAGUGAAGAAGGUUUUCGGAUCGUAAAACUCUGUUGUUAGAGAAGAACAAGGAUGAGAGUAACUGUUCAUCCCUUGACGGUAUCUAACCAGAAAGCCACGGCUAACUACGUGCCAGCAGCCGCGGUAAUACGUAGGUGGCAAGCGUUGUCCGGAUUUAUUGGGCGUAAAGCGAGCGCAGGCGGUUUCUUAAGUCUGAUGUGAAAGCCCCCGGCUCAACCGGGGAGGGUCAUUGGAAACUGGGAGACUUGAGUGCAGAAGAGGAGAGUGGAAUUCCAUGUGUAGCGGUGAAAUGCGUAGAUAUAUGGAGGAACACCAGUGGCGAAGGCGGCUCUCUGGUCUGUAACUGACGCUGAGGCUCGAAAGCGUGGGGAGCAAACAGGAUUAGAUACCCUGGUAGUCCACGCCGUAAACGAUG
rnacentral:rRNA from 1 species